UAGAAAUAAGAGUACUUAAGGAAGGUAAAUCCAAAAUACCAAGCAUUAUUUUAGAGGGCUAUAUAACAAGGUAAUACCUGCAUUCUAUUUCAUGUUAAAGUGACUCAUGUGAGUGUACCACUCCGACGUUAACACUACAGAGGAAAGAUGCCUAAAUACAAAGGGGUCAUAACGACUGAAGACCGUCUCCUUGCCUCCACUUGGGAUCAUGUCCACAUUAAACUAGUGGGGACAGAGGGGGAGAGCCGACGCAAAGCUCUUUCUACUGGACAUUUUUUGUUCAAGGCUUGAUCUGUUUUAAAAUUUGAGCUGGACUGCAAAAAGUCCAUUGGCAAACUGGUACUGAUUGAGCUGAACAAAAAUCCCCGUCUUCUGCUGCCACAAGACCCCUGGUUCCCUGCCAAGGUGGAACUCAAGUCCCCUGAAGGAGAGACCUUCCUCUUCCCCAUCCAUCGCUGGAUCACCAACAAAGAAGUUCAACAGUUCAGAGAGGCCACAGCUUGUUUAGUGUUUGAUGACAUCCAGCCUAAUGCGAGCCAAAGCAGAAAGAAAGAAUUGAAACUGAGAAAGGAACAGUAUUGCUGGAGCAUUUAUGCAGAGGGGAUUCCUCACUGUAUGAAGGUUCACUGUGUUCUGUCCCUACCUGAUGAGGUCCGGUUCUCCUUCACUAAAGAAGUACAGUUUGGACUCAACGCUUUACAAGGCUCGCCUCCGGCUACCAAACGAGCGAGUCAGAUUCGGCGCACCAUCCUACGUAGGAAGGGGGAACAUUUGAAUAUUAGCUCCCACUUCCCCUCUGCCCUCCAAUCAGAGCAUCGCUAAGAUUUUGUGGACCAGCGGACGAGC